UGGACAGCAUGUGAAAAUAGAGCACUCUGAGGAGGCACAAGGAGACAGGGUCGUGUGUUGUGAUGCAGUCUAAUCACAGUGGAUCUGGUUUUGCUAUGUAUGGUUUCACACAGUAGGUGACAUUGCAAACUACAUAAUGCACAAGGCGAUGUAAAGCUCGGUCGUCCAUAUCGACAGAUUAUUAAUUGCUGAAGACCUACGCAUGAAAUACCAAAAGUUGUCAACAAACGUUACCAAGCGCAAUUAUUAGAUCUAUUUC